rnacentral:rRNA from 1 species
UGAGUAACGCGUAAGUGAUCUACCCCUGUAUUUGGGAUAACUAUGGGAAACUGUAGCUAAUACCGGAUACGUUCCAUGUAGUUGCGAUUAUGUGAAGAAAGAUGGCCUCUGACUUAAGCUAUUGUACAGGGAGGAGCUUGCGUACCAUUAGCUAGUUGGUAGGGUAAUGGCCUACCAAGGCAACGAUGGUUAGCGGGUCUGAGAGGAUGAUCCGCCACACUGGAACUGAAACACGGACCAGACUCCUACGGGAGGCAGCAGUGAGGAAUAUUGCGCAAUGGGGGCAACCCUGACGCAGCGACGCCGCGUGGAUGAUGAAGGCUUUCGGGUCGUAAAAUCCUGUCGGAUGGAAAGAAGUGGAAGUGGUUAAUACCCAUG